rnacentral:rRNA from 1 species
AUUGAACGCUGGCGGAAUGCUUUACACAUGCAAGUCGAACGGCAGCACGGGGGCAACCCUGGUGGCGAGUGGCGAACGGGUGAGUAAUACAUCGGAACGUGCCCAGUCGUGGGGGAUAACGUAGCGAAAGUUACGCUAAUACCGCAUACGAUCUACGGAUGAAAGCGGGGGACCGUAAGGCCUCGCGCGAUUGGAGCGGCCGAUGUCUGAUUAGGUAGUUGGUGAGGUAAAGGCUCACUAAGCCGACGAUCUGUAGCUGGUCUGAGAGGACGACCGGCCACACUGGGAUUGAGACACGGCCCAGACUCCUACGGGAGGCAGCAGUGGGGAAUUUUGGACAAUGGGCGCAAGCCUGAUCCAGCCAUUCCGCGUGCAGGACGAAGGCCUUCGGGUUGUAAACUGCUUUUGUACGGAACGAAAAGGCUCUGGUUAAUACCUGGGGCUCAUGACGGUACCGUAAGAAUAAGCACCGGCUAACUACGUGCCAGCCGCCGCGGUAA